GCCAAAACAGAGAUGAGGUAGAUUAAUUGCAAAAAUUAUUUUUUUUUCCUGAUAUAUUUCUCCCUGUAAUAUGACUAUAAAGUCAUUGUUAUCAAGAGGUGACAUUUAUUUCCUCACCUCUUGAAUGCAGAGGACUUGGUUUGACCAACAGAAUGUAGCAUAAAGACUUGCAUGUCCUCAACUCUCUCUCAGAACCCAGCCAAGUCACACUGGGAAUAACGCCAGGUAAACCUAUUGGAGACUGAGGUGUGUCAUGGAGCAGAGAUGAGCCAUUCUCUCUGAGAAAAGCCUAGACAAACCAACACUGUAGCUGACACAGCUCACCUGGAACCAGCUAGGUGACAGAGACUCUUGAGAUAUCAAAAUGCUUAAUGCUUAAGCCACUAAGUCUUGGGGGUCAUUGACUUUGCAAUAUCAAACAUAUACAUAUAGAAUAUGGUAAAAAUUAUUUCAGAAACAAGACCCAAUCAUUCAACUUGAAAAAUGAGGCCACAUUUUAAUUAUAGGCAUGGCUGUGAAUCUGAUUACCACUUUGGACAACAGAUUUUACAGUCACUUUUGCCCUUGGAGCUGAGUCUGCAAGCUGUAGGACACAGAAGUACACACUUAGAAAACAGAAUAUGAGAGACUCUCCCAGCUAUUCCACUCCUUAAAGCUUAAAGUGCAACCCUACCCAUUGCCACUCUAAUGCUAAACAAGAUGACUUCAAUACUGGGAUCAAAACUGUCAGUCAAACACUCUACCCCAAGAAUUUAGUGCUCACAGCUACAAGAACUCAAAAAUAAUCCAAAUCAUAAGUUUGAAAUAGGCAUAGGUAUAGGCACAUCUAAUAGUUUUCAGUAAUAAUCCCAUCUCAACAAUAGAUAUUCUAUCUUUCAUCCAAGAACAGUUAAACUGUGCACCCUAGGCAUACUGAACUCUAUUUCAAAGGAGGUGGAGUCUUGCCCCCUUCUCUUGACCCAUGGAGGCUCAUCUAGUCUAGUAAAAUUUUCCCCACCUGGAUUUCCCUAUUAAUAAACAUGAGAAUGUUAUUGGGAGCAGGGGUGGCAGAAGGUGUUUGCCACCUCUGCACUAUCAUGGACAUGUUGCCAACAUCCAUCUGGGAUUCUAGAAGACAAGUUUGAUAAGUAACUGGAGAAGAUUGGUAAGUGAAUCUAUUGUGUGUGAGCUGGCACCUGCUUAUCAUUUAUUAUUUAUAAUUUAUAAAUAUCAGAUCAGUUUGGUUAGCUAUUUUUUUAAAUUAUGGUUAUAGUCAUAUGCAAUAUCACAGUUAAGAAAUAUAUGCAUUUUUAGCUGAACACUUGUCUCUCCUUUGCCCAUAUUAUAAAAGAAAAUUGUCUCUCAAUAACAAUAAAUAGGCCAGGCAUGGUGGCUAAUGCCUGUAAUUUGCACUUUGGGAGGCCUAGGCAGAUGGAUCACCUAAGGUCAGGCAUUCGAGACCAGCCUGGCCAUCAUGGUGAAACCCCAUCUCUACUAAAUAUACAAAAAUUUAGCCAGGCGUGGUGGCCGGAGCCUGUAAUUCCAGCUACUCUGGAGGCUGAGGCAGGAAAAUUCCUUGAACCGGGGAGGUGGCAGUUGCAGUGAGCCGAGAUCGCGCCAUUGCACUCCAGCCUGAGCGACAAGGGCAAAACUCCAACCACCCUUCG
rnacentral:lncRNA from 1 species